GCUUGCUGCUCACUUUGGGCUAUUUUUCUUUUCCUGUUAUUCCCCCCCCCCCACACACACAAAGAAACUGGCAACAGGGUGUGAAAAGAACUGUUUGGCUCCAGCUAUAGGGAAUUGCUUGCUCCUCUGCGAAUGUGUACUGUUGUCGUCAUCUUUGCACAUGCUGUUCCUCUGAUUGGAGUGCCUCACUCCUCUUUUACCAUCUGGAGACUGAGGAACCAAUCUGAGAAUUGUAUGUGGUGCUGUGUGUUGAGCCUUCAGUCCUUUAAUUAUCUGGAAAACUCAAGGGAGUGCCCUCGUGGUGAUGAAUAUUCCUGUGCAACAUGCUGCUAUUCAUCAGAGCAAAGCCUGCUGUUCCUUAAUAGAAAUCCAGGGAAGAGACCAG